GACUAACGCUGGCGGCGUGCCUAACACAUGCAAGUCGAACGGACGUAGCAAUACGUUAGUGGCAGACGGGUGAGUAACACGUAGAUAACGUACCCCUCCGCUGGGGAUAGCCACUGGAAACGGUGGGUAAAACCGAAUAUUCUUCAAUAUGGGCAUCUAUGUUGAAGGAAAACUUUGGUGUGGAGGGAUCGGUUUGCGACCUAUCAGCUAGUUGGUGAGGUAACGGCUCACCAAGGCGACGACGGGUAACCGGUCUGAGAGGACGGUCGGUCACACUGGCACUGAGAUACGGGCCAGACUCCUACGGGAGGCAGCAGUGAGGGAUUUUGCACAAUGGAGGAAACUCUGAUGCAGCGACGCCGCGUGCGGGACGAAGCCUUUCGGGGUGUAAACCGCUGUCAGUGGGGAAGAGUAGGGACGGUACCCACUGAGGAAGCAUCGGCUAACUACGUGCCAGCAGCCGCGGUAAGACGUAGGGUGCGAGCGUUGUCCGGAAUCACUGGGCGUAAAGAGCUCGUAGGCGGGGUCGUGCGUCGUGGAGUAAAUUUCUCUGCUUAACGGAGAAAUCAUCUGCGAUACGGCGA
rnacentral:rRNA from 1 species